GAAAAGGUGCUGCCCACAUUUAGGGCCUG
rnacentral:piRNA from 1 species